AUCGCCGUUCAUCGUCCGGCAACCGGGGCGGUGACGACCUCGAGACGCCGGUUCGAACCCGGCCGGCGGUUCCA
rnacentral:tRNA from 5 species